AGUUCUUUUUCCGCAGAGACUGCAGGUGCUACCAAUGAUGAUCUAAUUACCGAACUGCCAGAGUCUGAAGCUGCUCCCAAUAAUACUCUAAUUACCGAACUGCCAGGAUCUGCGGCUGAUAAUUAUUACUCAACUGCUGUAACACCAGG